CGUCUUCUUGAACUCAUGAGAGCCGAGGGAUGAGUGGCUGGAAGUAAAAUAAGACCAGUCCUGGAUACUUUAAUGAGAACCUCAAUAUUGAAAGGAGAAGAGAUGGAGUUAUCCAGAGCUUAAUGGAGGACCUCAGAGAAAGUCAUGAGGACCUUCACCAAGACUGCCAGGAGGAUAAUCAAGAUAGAAACUCUGAGCAUCUCUUGAAGAUCCUUGUCGUCCACAGAGCCACUGCAGAGGACCAGUGGAGUUUAUUAUAAUUACUGAGGGCCGUAAAGUGCUGACUAACUGAGGAAGGAGAGCCAAGGCUGGCAUCCUAUUAAUGGGGUUUAUUUAAGCUUUAAAUGUAGUCUACCAAGAAAAGCUAAAGUAUACGUUUGAGUUUUUACAAAAGAUGUUCCUUCAGAUUGAUGGGAUAAACUGCUCAGAAACGUUCAGACACUAAAACACAAAUUGCUGGCUUGAAUGUAAUGACUCAAGUUAAUAAUGGAUAAUAGGCUCUUGUUACACUUUGUUAAAACAUCUUUGUGUCCUGAAAUAUUAAAACACCAGGUGAACUUUAGUUUUUAAAACAACAGCCUACCUCACUUCUAAUCUGUAAAUAUGGAUUAUGUUUAUUAUAACAUCU